UCCUUGUUUGCCAGCACGUAAUGGUGGGAACUCCAGGGAGACUGCCGGUGAUAAACCGGAGGAAGGUGGGGACGACGUCAAGUCAUCAUGGCCCUUACGGGAUGGGCUACACACGUGCUACAAUGGCAGGUACAGAGGGCAGCGAUACCGCGAGGUGGAGCGAAUCCCAGAAAGCUUGUCGUAGUCCGGAUUGGAGUCUGCAACUCGACUCCAUGAAGUCGGAAUCGCUAGUAAUCGUAGAUCAGAAUGCUACGGUGAAUACGUUCCCGGGCCUUGUACACACCGCCCGUCACACCAUGGGAGUGGGAUGCAAAAGAAGUGGCUAGUCUAACCUUCGGGAGGACGGUCACCACUUUGUGUUUCAUGACUGGGGUGAAGUCGUAACAAGGUAACCCUAGGGGAACCUGGGGUUGGAUCACCUCCUUAUC
rnacentral:rRNA from 1 species